UAGGGAAUAUUGGGCAAUGGAGGGAACUCUGACCCAGCCAUGCCGCGUGCAGGAUGAAGGCGUUAUGCGUUGUAAACUGCUUUUAUAUAGGAAGAAAUAGUCCUUGCGAGGAAAGUUGACGGUACUAUAUGAAUAAGCACCGGCUAACUCCGUGCCAGCAGCCGCGGUAAUACGGAGGGUGCAAGCGUUGUCCGGAUUUAUUGGGUUUAAAGGGUGCGUAGGCGGUUUAUUAAGUCAGUGGUGAAAGACGGUCGCUCAACGAUUGCAGUGCCAUUGAUACUGGUAGACUUGAGUAUGAUUGAGGUAGCUGGAAUGGAUAGUGUAGCGGUGAAAUGCAUAGAUAUUAUCCAGAACACCAAUUGCGUAGGCAAGUUACUAAGUCAUAACUGACGCUGAGGCGCGAAAGCAAGGGGAGCAAACAGGAUUAGAUACCCGCGUAGUCCCUGAGCGGGCUGGCAAGGCGCAU
rnacentral:rRNA from 1 species